rnacentral:rRNA from 1 species
GAUGAACGCUAGCUACAGGCUUAACACAUGCAAGUCGAGGGACCGGCGCACGGGUGAGUAACACGUAUCCAACCUGCCCUUUACUCGGGGAUAGCCUUUCGAAAGAAAGAUUAAUACCCGAUGUAAAGGAUGGGGAUGCGUUCCAUUAGGUUGUUGGUGAGGUAACGGCACGCCAAGCCUUCGAUGGAUAGGGGUUCGGAGAGGAAGCUCCCCUGCAAUGGAGAUGAGGCCCGGUCCAAACUCCGACGGGAGGCAGCAGUGAGGAAUAUUGGUCAAUGAGCGUUAGCCUGAACAAGCCAAGUGACGGAAAGAAUGAAGCCUUAUGGGUCGUAAACUGCUAGUAUAUAAGAAUAGGUAUUAUAUGAAUAAGGAACGGCUAACUCCGUGCCAGCAGCCGCGGUAAUUC